CGGGGGACGGCGUGCCGGAGGAGCCCAGGGCAGAGCCGGCUCCCUCCGGCGCCGGGCGCCCGCCCGCCCGGGACUCCUCGUACGCCUUCCGCCACUGAAUUCAUGGUGGCUUCGCUGGGCGGCGGGAGAAUUUCCUACAGGUUUCCCAGUCCGCAUCCGAAGGGAAUAGCCGGUCCCGGGAAGUCCCCCGCGGAGCGGGCAGGCUUGCUCCCUCCGCCGCCUCCGACGGGAUCGCUCAGCCCCUAAACACCCGUCAGUUCUCGGGAAAACGCUUGGGGCUGGGGUUCUCUCCCGGUCGGUUUUUCUUCAUUGUCUCCCCUUUCAUUCCCUUACAACCCUUGUUUUCACAAAAACAGCAACAUCCAAAUCAGGAGCGGUCCCCCCGAUAGGCAGCACAGCUCUCAUCCGCAAGUGAGGUGAAGCACCCAAGGUAGCCUCGGGAAGGCGAAAGAAGGAGCGAGAGCCGCGCUCCCCUCAAGCAGAGGCGCUUUCUGCCUCCGCCACAGCGGCAACUUGUUCCCUUCACCAAGGUUUGUAACUGAGUUAGAAGAAAUCCUCCAAAAAUAUCGGGAUCCAGGCUCUGGGAGGAGCCUCCGCGCCCCUUGCAGCCAAUAUCCUCCUGCCCAUUUGUGCCUGACAGUUUGGGAAGGGAGGGAAGGAAAGAGCCGGGCUGCGGAGCCCCGUGCGCUCCCCGGUCAGCGGCGGAGCUGCAGGGCUGGCGGCGCCCGAGGCUGCCAGCAGAGUGCCAGAGCCUCGCCGCUGCUCUGCGCGAUGCCUCGGCUGCCGGGAGGGUCCAUUUUAUUUUGCAGUAUUUCUUGAUUGACGCCUGCGAUUUCCCCCCGUUCUUGAAAAGGGCGGGUGGGUGCGCGGAGGGGGGAGAACCUUGUUGCUUCCACCGCAGUUAUUGGUUAGUUGCCUCUAUUCAGGCUUUAAUGAACGUGAUUUCACAAGUGUUCCCAAUCCUCCCUAAAUAACUAGGAAAGAAGAGCAAGCUGUAUUUAUGACAGUCACUGGCAUUUCUUUUCCAUGUUGUAGUAUUACGUGUAUUAAUUUAACUUGCAGUCAAGGGCAUAAUAAAUUGAUCUCUUAACAAUGAAA